rnacentral:rRNA from 1 species
UGAAACCAGGGUUAGAUACCCUGUUACUUUUUUUAAAGAGCUUUGGAUUAAUAAUAGUGAUGAAAUUUAACGGAUUUGGCGGCAAGAUAGCUUUUUAGAGGAACCUGCCCUGUAAACGAUGAACCACGAAUAUCUUACUUUCCUUAGAAGACAGUUUGUAUACCGCUGUUGACAGUCAAAUUUUAGAAGAUAUUUUCUUUUUGAAAAAAUCAAUAACUUCAAGUAAAGGUGCAGCUUAUAGGAAAGAUAGAGGUGGGUUACAAUUAAGAGAAUAAAACGGAUAAGAACUGAGAAUAGGUUUUUUGAAGGUGGAUUUAACAGUAAGAUUUAAGAAAAUUUGGUGUAAGCUCUAUCUUGUG